AUACGUAGGUGGCAAGCGUUGUCCGGAAUUAUUGGGCGUAAAGCGCAUGUAGGCGGUAAUUUAAGUCUGUCGUGAAACUGCGGGGCUCAGCCCCGUAUGGCGAUGGAAACUGGGUUACUUGAGUGCAGGAGAGGAAAGGGGAACUCCCAGUGUAGCGGUGAAAUGCGUAGAUAUUGGGAAGAACACCGGUGGCGAAGGCGCCUUUCUGGACUGUGUCUGACGCUGAGAUGCGAAAGCCAGGGUAGCGAACGGGAUUAGAUACCCCGGUAGUCCUGGCCGUAAACGAUGGGUACUAGGUGUGGGAGGUAUCGACCCCUUCCGUGCCGGAGUUAACGCAAUAAGUACCCCGCCUGGGGAGUACGGCCGCAAGGCUUAAACUCAAAUGAAUUGGCGGGG
rnacentral:rRNA from 1 species